rnacentral:rRNA from 1 species
AGGUUUGUUUUUCGUUGCGAGUGUUCGGGUGUCAAACCCCUACGCGUAAUGAAAGUGAACGCAGGUGAGAGCUUCGGCGCAUCAUCGACCGAUCCUGAUGUUCUCGGAUGGAUUUGAGUAAGAGCAUACGGGGCCGGACCCGAAAGAAGGUGAACUAUGCCUGUAUAGGGUGAAGCCAGAGGAAACUCUGGUGGAGGCUCGCAGCGGUUCUGACGUGCAAAUCGAUCGUCAAAUAUGGGCAUGGGGGCGAAAGACUAAUCGAACCUUCUAGUAGCUGGUUUCCGCCGAAGUUUCCCUCAGGAUAGCAGUGUUGAACUCAGUUUUAUGAGGUAAAGCGAAUGAUUAGGGACUCGGGGGCGCUAUUUAGCCUUCAUCCAUUCUCAAACUUUAAAUAUGUAAGAAGCUCUUGUUGCUUAAUUGAACGUGAGCAUUCGAAUGUAUCAACACUAGUGGGCCAUUUUUGGUAAGCAGAACUGGCGAUGCGGGAUGAACCGAACGCGAGGUUAAGGUGCCAGAGUAGACGCUCAUCAGACACCACAAAAGGUGUUAGUACAUCUUGACAGCAGGACGGUGGCCAUGGAAGUCGGAAUCCGCUAAGAAAUGGGUGAAAAACCCAUCCCUCCAAGGAUUUUCUAAAUCCCGCUAGGGAGUUUGGUAAGGUUUCUAGGUUUUGAUUACUGCCACCAUCAAUUACAUUAUUAUUAAUAAGAAGAAUAGUUGAAAGUGGUGCAGGAACAGGAUGAACAGUAUAUCCUCCCCUUUCUACUAAUAUUGCACAUAGAGGAGCAUCAGUAGACUUAGCAAUUUUUUCACUACAUUUAGCAGGAGUAUCCUCAAUUUUAGGGGCUAUUAACUUCAUUUCAACUAUUAUAAAUAUACGACCAAAAGGAAUAACAAUAGAACGAAUUCCUUUAUUCGUAUGAUCAGUAAGUAUUACUGCAUUACUAUUAUUAUUAUCAUUACCAGUACUAGCUGGGGCUAUUACAAUAUUACUUGCAGACCGAAACUUCAAUACAUCAUUUUUUGACCCAGCAGGGGGGGGAGAUCCUAUUUUAUAUCAACACUUAUUUUGAUU